AACGUAGGAGACAAACGUUAUCCGGAGUUACUGGGCGUAAAGGGCGUGUAGGUGGUUGCGUAAGUCUGGCGUGAAAUAUCUCGGCUUAACCGAGGCAGGUCGUCGGAUACUGCGUAACUGGAGGACGGUAGAGGCGUGUGGAAUUCCGGGUGUAGUGGUGAAAUGCGUAGAGAUCCGGAGGAACACCAGUGGCGAAGGCGACACGCUGGGCCGUAUCUGACACUGAUGCGCGACAGCAUGGGGAGCAAACAGG
rnacentral:rRNA from 1 species